CGCCUGAGGUCGGAUGAUGAGGAUGGUCGAAGUGAUUCUGUCGUUGGAGCUCCACCCGAAUACUUACAAAAAUUCCUCACUGAAGUGUUCGAGAUGACAAUGGUCGAAGUGAUUCUGUCAUUGGAGCUCCAUCUGAAUACCUAUAAAAAAUUCUCACUGGAGUAUUCUCUAGUGAAGACCCUCCAACGCUCAAGUCAGGAGACGAAGAACAAUGAGAAGGAGAG
rnacentral:lncRNA from 1 species